CAGCGCCGCGGGAAUACGAAGGGUGCAAGCGUUACUCGGAAUUACUGGGCGUAAAGCGUGCGUAGGUGGUGGUUUAAGUCCGUUGUGAAAGCCCUGGGCUCAACCUGGGAAUUGCAGUGGAUACUGGGUCACUAGAGUGUGGUAGAGGAUAGUGGAAUUUCCGGUGUAGCAGUGAAAUGCGUAGAGAUCGGAAGGAACAUCUGUGGCGAAGGCGACUAUCUGGGCCAACACUGACACUAAGGCACGAAAGCGUGGGGAGCAAACAGGAUUAGAUACCCCGGUAGUCCCUGUCUCUAUACAC
rnacentral:rRNA from 1 species